UUUAAUUUUACACACAUUUAAAAUCAACCAAUGAAGAGAAGCUGGAUUUUAUGAGGUAAUUAUUUGUGAAUGUCAUUAUUGUGUUUGGUGUUUCAGCAAAGGAAAAUAUCACGGUUCUUGGUCAGUCCUGUCAUUGAAGGGUCCACUGCGGCAUCAUCAGACGUUCAACCAACUGUCUCUGUUCCUGGAUCAGCUGCAACUCCGGCCCAAGAGCAGUCGGAAACAGAAUUAGCAUCCUGCAGUCUGGAUUCCCCGAGUGAUCAGACAACAUCAUCAACUCGUCAUAGUGACUUUGGUACAAGCGGUAAUGAAUUCAUGAGUGAAAGUAGCACUGUCUCAUCACCAAUGACUCAGCUCUCUCCAGAGUCAACAUUGCACAGUAAUUUAUUGGGUAAAAUUGUCCACCAAAAUUCAAACGAUAGCAGUGGACUUGGAGGUCCACAGACCAUUGCUGACCUGCAACAGAAGCUACAUCAGUUGACAUCGCAGCCAUCAGAAUUGUCAUUGAGUGGCACUCCACCAUCGCAUCCGGCAACGCCUCACAAUCACUUACAGUCACAGAACCAUGCAACAUCCAUUCAGACCCUUCAUGAAAAGCUUACCUCUAUCUCCAUGACAAAUUCACAACCCCUGGGUCCUUUAUCACCACAAAGCACGCUUCACUGCAUUCCCUCAAAUCAUCCUCCUCUAACAGCAGCUAUCGAAGUAUAUCAGAAUGCCAUUUUAUCGGAGGGCAUUGCUGUUAUGCAACAACCCUAUCUAGUCCAUUCUGUUGCCCCUACCUCGGACUCACAGCCGGUCACAAGUCAAAAUCAGCAACAGUACACGGUUCAAACGACCAUCGCUCCCGUCUUCGUUCAGCCUCUCCCGAGUAAUUUCCAAUCGGCUGAACUACCGCAGUAUGCUCAGUCCACGCCCAUGCUGUUCCAUCCGAUUCCAGCCGAUAGAAGUCAACUAACUCCGAAGGAAUCUCAAGAAACUACUCAGCAUGCAACGCCUAUCUUGCUUCGCCCAAUCACCGCUAGUGAGGGCAGUUCUAGUCAGCUCUUCAUGUCGCCAGCAACAUCUGAAUCAGAGAAGAAGUCUCCUAUUCAGCAUGUUCUUGUCCAGAAACUUGCGACAUCAGAGUCGAGCUCACCACAAUACAUUUAUCAACCUGUCAUGCAGCAGCCAAUCAUUCCAGGUCGAUUCAUGAUGGCAACCACACCGGUGCCUCAGUCCUCUGGCAACCCUGACCUCAAGAGUCCAUUGACUCAAGUAACAGUCCAACCAGUCGUCGUCCAUGAAACUCCUCUAGUCAUGCAGUCGGUUUCUCUACCAAGUGAACAUGCAAACUGUGCUUCGGGUGAAUCAUCAACUGCUGUCUAUCCUGAAAAAUCAGUCAUCCAGCCAAUGUCUAUAAUCACACACCCAAGUGUCAUCACAAGAACACCCGGAUCCCACGCAGAUGACAUUCAUGAAGAAAAGAAAUUGAAUAAAACGCUGGCAGAUUUACAUUAUCUAGAAAUUGAAUUAAACAAAAUUCAUGGUCCUGGAUCAGAAAAAAGUCGGCAUCGUAAAGAUGGUCACAGCACAGGUCAAUCGACACCAGUAACUUCGUCUAGCACACCGGCAACCUCCAGUUUUCAGGGAGAAAUUAUGCAGGAAAUAGAUGCAUCUAAAGAGAGGCUUGACAGUCACCAAUCAGAAAGUAAAGUUGGUAGCCAAUCAGAAGAUGAAACAUCGCAGCGAGAAAUCAGACGAGGACGCUUUAGUGUUGUGGUGCGACCAGAUUCCCUCAUUCAAAACAAUUAUGGUUCAGACCAGAGCAGCCAAGUUAAUACCAGGGACGACACUACAACAAGUAAUAGUGAAAGCAAUAAUCAGUCGGUGCCCACCUCGAUUAGUCCACGUAAUAGGCGCUCGCCCACCUGUGACAUUUACCGAGCAGCAAGCACUCAGACAUUCCCCUCACCAUUUGUUAAUCCAGAAAUUGAGUGCGAGUCAUCUAUUCGUCGAAAAAUCAGCAUCCAGUCCAACCCAUGCUGCAGCACAAUUCUGGAGUCCGUUUAUCAACCUGAUAUGCGCCGUGCUCAAAGUGGGAUGAACCUUUCAAACGAAAGUCAGCGAAAGAUCUCUGUGGACAGUUGUGGCUUUCCAUCAGUGUCGCAGCAAAGACAAAGGAAGACAGGCCUCCUUGGUGUCAAAUCUUUACAGCAGGAAGCACCAACAACCGAGCAUGCACAGGUAGGUCAACAGAGACGAAGAGACUGUGAGCAGUUGAAACGAUGGCCGAGCGAUAAUGUUUUGAACAACUACACCAACUCUGAGCAAGCAUUGCUGUUCCGCUCAAGAAAGAACAGCUACGGUUCGAAAGUAUGCAUGCUGCGGCAGGCUUCAGCAAUUGAGCCACGGGAUAUCCUUCGGGCAAAAAUCCGAGAAGCAAAAAGCAUGGUUGAUAUAAAUAAUGAAAACUACUUGGUUAAAGACAAACCCAUUUAUGACCAGUUCUUUUCAAACCAUGAGGUUUACCACACAGUGCAUGGUGGCUACUUACACAAAAGAGUCCCGAAUCAAGAUCUACCCUCCAAGUACGAGCUAGUCUGUGGUAAAAAUUGCUGUGUCGAUCGGACACGGGAUGUGUCGAAAGUUAAUGCAAGUCAGUUUGAGGGAUGGGCAUAUCCAGAUUCUCUUUUGCCACAUUUUGCGUCAUUCAAAACGCGGAGCUGGAAUGAUUUGUCACGCUACUCUAAAGACUCAGGGUUUGAUUCUCUGACUUUCUCUUCUCAUCAAGCACCAGAUGAUAAAUUCUCAACAACACCAGUUAAUUACCCAAUUAAGAACCUGCAGUAUUGGCAGCCAAAGAAGAUGCAACGGCAUGAACCUGGGUCAAGUUUUGGCCAUCCUAGUCCUAAACAGUCGUACGAAGAAUUAUUAUCAAAUCUUCUUCACAGACAAAGGCUGGAGCUUGAAUCAUUGAGGCGCAAGCAUCAAGAGGAAAUUGAGGCAUUAUCACAGCAAAUGGAAUCGGAUUACCCAAUGUCUCCUCCUCCGCAGUAUGCCUCACGGCCAAUGGCUUUACUGUAUCAAACGCUUACUCCUAUUUCUGUGCCAUCUUCUUCAAGAAGUGGACAAGGUAGCCUGGAGGGCUACAGUACUGCACCCCAAAGUCCCACUGAAUCUUGUCCCAAUUCUGCGAAUGAUUUUGCAACGCAUACAUCAAGUCAGCCAAGUGUCAUUCAGUAUGCGCGCGGCUCAGCAUUUUAUCUACAGCCUGCGGCACUCCGCUUUGUUUAUGACUCUCCAUCCCACUGUGCCCCUUCAGAUUUGCCUGAGCAUGAGCCAAGGUAA
rnacentral:lncRNA from 1 species